rnacentral:rRNA from 1 species
UACAGAGGGCUCAAGCGUUGUUCGGAUUCAUUGGGCGUAAAGGGUGCGUAGGCGGCGCGGUAAGUCGGGUGUGAAAUCUCGGGGCUUAACUCCGAAACUGCAUUCGAUACUGCGGUGCUUGAGGACUGGAGAGGAGACUGGAAUUCAUGGUGUAGCAGUGAAAUGCGUAGAGAUCAUGAGGAAGACCAGUGGCGAAGGCGGGUCUCUGGACAGUUCCUGACACUGAGACACGAAGGCCAGGGGAGCAAACGGG